rnacentral:rRNA from 1 species
UGGAGGCAGCAGUAAGGAAUUUUGGACAAUGGGCGCAAGCCUGAUCCAGCCAUUCCGCGUGCAGGAUGAAGGCCCUCGGGUUGUAAACUGCUUUUGUACGGAACGAAAAAGCCCUUUCUAAUACAGAGGGUCCAUGACGGUACCGUAAGAAUAAGCACCGGCUAACUACGUGCCAGCAGCCGCGGUAAUACGUAGGGUGCAAGCGUUAAUCGGAAUUACUGGGCGUAAAGCGUGCGCAGGCGGUGAUGUAAGACAGUUGUGAAAUCCCCGGGCUCAACCUGGGAACUGCAUCUGUGACUGCAUCGCUGGAGUGCGGCAGAGGGGGAUGGAAUUCCGCGUGUAGCAGUGAAAUGCGUAGAUAUGCGGAGGAACACCGAUGGCGAAGGCAAUCCCCUGGGCCUGCACUGACGCUCAUGCACGAAAGCGUGGGGAGCAAACAGGAUUAGAUACCCCUGUAGUCU